CAGGAGGCAGCAACACUGAGCUAAAUCCCCAGCCUGCAUUGUGACAAGACCACCACCAUGCUCAGAAGGGCAUCAGCAAUUGCACAGGAGGAAACCUAGCGAUGCGCCAGCUCAUCAGAGGUCAUGUCAGGAAUGGGAAAAGAGAAAGAAAUAAGGAGACAUGUUUGGAAGAAGACAGACUGAAUGUGGCAGGGCCCUCAGUUGGAACAACUCCCGUUCUUUUCGUCCACCCACACCAGUUUCUGGCAAAUGGGAAGGCCACCUACAGCUCUGUACAUUGGAAAUGUUCAUUACCAAGAAAAAUGGGUCAAUCAAAUAAAGACAAUGUGG